rnacentral:lncRNA from 1 species
CAGAUUUUGUGGUUUCUCUUAGACUCUAUUUUACUCAUAUAUCUUAAUUUUCUCAUUUUCUGUUUUAGAUGUGUUAAAUUGGAUGGCAGAAAUAAGUCACUGGAACAAAAUGCUUGAGAAAGAACCUGCUCUACUCCCUACUUUCUUAAAAAUACACUCACAUGUUCUCCCAUAUACCAAAACAAUUAUUCUAGAUUGGAGAUAUUUAACGAUUCACACUUACGUAAAGGCUCCAAAUCAUUCUUUGGGUGAAGUUAAAGAAGUUGGCAAUCAUUUACAUGAAGCAGAGAUUGGCCAUGUUUGGCUACCCAUUUUUUAUCCAAUCCAACCACAAAGUCAUGGAGUUAAGCCAAUGGUUCAACUGUGGCUUAGAAUGAAAAUAACCCAGGAAACAAACAAAAACCUCAUGCCAGCUCCUCUCCCCAAUAAAGACCAAGAUAGAUUCUGA